CGCCCCUGGUGAAUCAGUGAUGCUAACCGUCCUGAAGCCGGCCGGUUCCUUCGGGAAUCGGUCGUGUGGAUGCACGGGACCCGAUCUGGUAGUAGCCAAGCGAU
rnacentral:rRNA from 1 species